CUCGCCGCUACCUGGCUCCUUCCAACGCGGCCGCUCGCGGGGUGCGCCGGGGGCUCCGAUGGGAACCGAGCGCGGGGGACCCGGGACCACACAGGUGAGCCCCGCCCGCGGGCUCCCAAUCCACCGAGUUCCCCUAUCCCACGAUCCCGCCCGCCAUCCCCUCCCCCUCGCUCCUCCACCCCAGCUCCGAAGCACUUUCCCAAGCCCGAAGGAGCCCUCGCUGCACCCCGAACCCGUUCUCCGCGUCCUGCUUUCUCCGAAGGGAAAAAAAAAAGGAGAGAAAGAGAGAGAAGCAAGCAGAUGCGGCGCAAAGCGGGGCGCAGGACGGCAAGAUAACUGUGGUUUGUGUGUGUGCUGACAUUAGACUAGCCGGCACAAAUGUCACUUCUGGAAAGCCAGCUCUAUCUAGAAGUGUUCUCCUUAAGAAGAAAGUAACAUGCGUUCAGCAUUUUAAUCAACUCCUGAAGAAAACAGCCACAACUCUGUUUUCCUACCUGAAGGCUCCUGUAAAGCUUGGACUUCAACUUUAAACCGUGUUCCUUCAGCUGAGAUUUGAUGUGUCCUUGGCAUGUGCCCACCCCAGAACUUCUCACGGGUGAGCAGCACUGUGGUACCUCCAGGCCUUGCAGCAGAGACCACUGAGCUUAGAAGAAGCUGAGUCUCCUUGUGUCUUAUCACAGCUGUAAAGAAUACCUCCCACAAACAAUGCAGGUGGCUUAAAACAAAGGACAUAGGCUCUUCUGCAGUUCCGGGGACUAUUGAAGUCUGAAGGCAUACCCUUGGCAACUGGACAGGGUAACCCCGUAUACGGCUUCUAAAGGAAGAGUAAUGAGGACCAGGAGCGUUCCAAAGGAGAUGAGCAGGCUGCCCUCAUAAAUUUCAUGGAAAGGCCAAGGAGGAACUACUUAACAUCUUCUGGCUGACAAGAGCUCACGGUGAUGAGAAUGCUUUUUCUGUGAUCCACUACGUCCUACAAACGUGAGAUUCAGAGCUAGCAAGAGGGCUGACAACCUGAGUUCAAGCCCUGGGACUCACAUGGUGGAAAGAGAGAGCGAACUUCUGGUACCUAUCUUCUGAGAUCCCCCGUGCAUGCUGAGACACAGCCCUCUCCCCUUUCCCCAGAUAAUAAUUGAGAUAUUAAAAAUUUAAAAAAGCAA